ACGGGUGAGUAAUGUCGUAGGGAAACUGCCUGAUGGGAGGGGGAUAACUACUAGGAAACGGUAGCUAAUACCGCAUAACGUCGCAAGACCAAAGAGGGGGACCUUCGGGCCUCUUGCCAUCAGAUGUGCCCAGAUGGGAUUAGCUAGUAGGUGGGGUAACGGCUCACCUAGGCGACGAUCCCUAGCUGGUCUGAGAGGAUGACCAGCCACACUGGAACUGAGACACGGUCCAGACUCCUACGGGAGGCAGCAUG
rnacentral:rRNA from 1 species